AUGCUGCCUCCUGCUCAGAAACGAGGCCACAAAACCACGUUGGUAUCUGAUCUCUUCAUACUUCUGCUGGGAGGUGAAAUGGAAGAGGCUUCAUUCUUGACACCCACUGUCUUCUUCAGGUCACUUUCCUGGGAACCCCUAAGGACACCCAGGUUCAUUUCCCAGGCUCUUCUGUGCAAAGACAGGAAGAAAUUAGCAGGUGUUGGGGCCCUGGUUCUCCUGGGGCAUAGAGUGGAGCGGCAUUGGUACUGGACCAGGAAUGAUGUCAUAAAAUCACUGGCAACAAAUCCAAGACAAGAAGAACUCCAGGGUUUACAUCCUGAGUGUAAAGACUGAGAUCUGAUACUAUGGCCAGGAUGAG
rnacentral:lncRNA from 1 species